rfam:Devosia sp. 67-54 SCNpilot_cont_1000_bf_scaffold_3, whole genome shotgun sequence.
AUGCGGCGCGCGUCAACCGGACGCGGCGGCAAGGGAAAUGGCGCGAUUUUUCCGGUUUCUCGCGCCGGCCAACGAAACGGCAGACGAGUCCAUGUCCCGCCCGCGCU